rnacentral:rRNA from 1 species
AACGAACGCUGGCGGCAUGCCUAACACAUGCAAGUCGAACGAGACCUUCGGGUCUAGUGGCGCACGGGUGCGUAACGCGUGGGAAUCUGCCCUUGGGUUCGGAAUAACAGUUAGAAAUGACUGCUAAUACCGGAUGAUGUCUUCGGACCAAAGAUUUAUCGCCCAGGGAUGAGCCCGCGUAGGAUUAGCUAGUUGGUGGGGUAAAGGCCUACCAAGGCGACGAUCCUUAGCUGGUCUGAGAGGAUGAUCAGCCACACUGGGACUGAGACACGGCCCAGACUCCUACGGGAGGCAGCAGUGGGGAAUAUUGGACAAUGGGCGAAAGACCUGAUCCAGCAAUGCCGCGUGAGU